rnacentral:lncRNA from 1 species
CACCAAGUCCUAUAGUAACACCACCUUCUCCAGUGAAGGCACCACCAACACCACCUUUAGUUAAAUCACCACCUAUUGUGAAAGCACCUUCUCCACCAUUGGUGAAAACACCACCAUAUCAAUCACCACCAGUGAAACCAACACCACCUAUUGUGAAAUCACCUCCUUCUCCACCAUUGGUAAAAUCACCACCUUAUCAAUCACCACCUAUUGUUAAGGCACCUUCUCCCCCUCUAGUGAAACCAACUCCACCUAUUGUGAAAUCACCUCCUUCUCCUCCUUUGGUGAAAACACCACCUUAUCAAUCACCACCUAUAGUGAAGGCACCACCAACUCCUCCACCUAUUGUGAAAACACCUCCUUAUCAAUCACCACCAAUAGUUAAACCACCAGUUGCUCCAUCUCCACCACCUACUCCAAUAGUCAAAUCAUGGAAGGGUAAGUCAAUUUCCAUUUACAUGUCUUUAAUAUGUAACAUUUUAAUAACACAUAAGACUAUGUUCAUGUUUCUAAAUUGUGGUCUCAAUAUAAUA